AUGAGUGUCUAAAGCCACUUAACCCUGGAUGCACCCAAUCCUGUCUGGUUUGGGAAGCUAAGCAGGGAUAGGCCUGGUUAGUACUUGGAUGGGUGACUAAAACACCAGACACUGCUCACA
rnacentral:rRNA from 1 species